rnacentral:rRNA from 1 species
CAAGUAGGUAGUGAAUCGUGUGGCUCAACCAUACUCACAUUAUCUAACUGCUAAGCUAGAGUAUAUGAGAGGUAGUUGGAAUUCCUUGUGUAGGAGUGGAAUCCGUAGAUAUAAGGAGGAACACCGAUGGCGUAGGCAGACUACUGGCAUAUUACUAACACUAAGGCACGAAAGCGUGGGGAGCGAACAGGAUUAGAUACCCUGGUAGUCCACGCCGUAAACUAUGGAUGCUA